CUGAAGAGGAAGAUGAAACAAGAAGAGUAACAGAAUUUGAUAGCGACUUUACUGACGUUGAGGGAGAGGCCAAAGCAAAGAAAUCCGAUGAAGACCUGUUUGGUUCAGAGUCUGAGAGUGAAGAAGGUGGCGGGUUGUUUAACAGUGAAGAUGAUGAGACACGACCAAAGAAGAAGUCAAAGUCCAAUCGGUUGAAGGAGGACAGCGAGGAUGAGUCAGAGGAUGAUGAUGAUAGUGAGGAGGAGAGUGAAGAAGAAUCUGAAGAAGAAACUGAAGAAGAAGAAGAAGAAGAGGUAAAGACUGAUUUCCAAGCUGAAUUAGCUUCAAAGCUUUUCGGUAAGAGAGUGGGAGGUCUUGAUGA